rnacentral:tRNA from 1 species
GAGGGUAUAGCUCAGUGGUAAAGUGCAUGCCUAGCAGGCACAAGAUCCUGGGUUCAAUCCCCAGUACCUCCA